UACAGAGGGUGCGAGCGUUAAUCGGAAUUACUGGGCGUAAAGCGCGCGUAGGCGGUUUUGUAAGUCGGGUGUGAAAUCCCCAAGCUUAACUUGGGGACUGCAUUCGAGACUGCAUAGCUAGAGUAUGGGAGAGGGAAGUGGAAUUUCAGGUGUAGCGGUGAAAUGCGUAGAUAUCUGAAGGAACAUCAGUGGCGAAAGCGACUUCCUGGACCAAUACUGACGCUCAUGUGCGAAAGCGUGGGGAGCAAACAGG
rnacentral:rRNA from 1 species